AGGCCCGGUCGGAGGGGCGCUGACAGGGCCUCACCCUAUCCGCGCGUGCGCACGGGCUUCCCGCCAGCGGUUACCAUGGAGACCGCCUCCCCCUCCCCACACGCUGCUCUCUUCUCGCUCCCCUCUUCCCGUUCCCCUCACGAGGCCGGCGGUGGCUCCUCCCGUCCCGUCCCCAUCCCACUCUCGCCCUCCGGGAGAACAGCCCGGCGCCUACUGAGGCGAACCCGGCCCGGCGGCCACCGGGGGCAGCCGAGCGCCGCGGAAAGCGGCGGCGGCCCCGCCGCCUCACGGCCCCGGCCUAGGGCGGGGAUGUCCAGUCAAACCGGGGGGCGGCUGGUUAGGGCCUGGGCUCCGGCUGUCGCCGAGGUGAAUGGCCAGUCCAGGAUGAACACCGGCGAAAGGGGAAAGCACACGGCGUAGUAUUCCUUGUUCGUGUUUUUAAAGAAUUCUAAUAUAUGAAGUCUUCACAUGUAAAACGUCAGGCACACCUGUGCAGCUGCAGCCCGUUACAACUGUGAUGUUUUGGGGUUAUAAUGGCUAUUGUGCUGCUCAUACGGAAAUUUAUGGAAAUACUGGAUUUUCAAGUCGGACAGGAAAACUUGAGCCUUUUUCCCACUACGUUCAGCUCUGGCUCAAAGUCCUCAUACUGAGUCUUACCUUGGAGUCAGGAUCAACAAUAACUUCCUCCAGAUCAUCAGUUAAUUGUGGCCAAAGGUCUGCAGCUGUGGCAAGAACCAAAAUCCCUCCUGGGCAACACUUCUCAACAGGCCAAGAUGCAGCAGAGGGAAGAGGUUUAGUGGCACAUGGAACACACCAGAGCUUCAUAAACAUCAAGGCAGACACUUCACUAACAACUACAAAUCAGUUCUAAUGGACUGAGGGGUGUAUUUUCUGCAAGGAAUCCCAUCAGGAGAUUUACCCCCGUCAGUACAAGAACUCGAAACUGAUGUGAAGAAAUCCUUUGGUUUGUGUCUUUCAACACUUCUGCUGGUUUAUUCAAGUUCUUUCUCAAGUUGCUGCACUGAUGGGAAUUAGGAACCCUCUGAAGAAAAUCCUGCAAGGACUUGCAAGUGCCCGUUGCACAAACAGACUGAAAAUGCUCCAGUUACGUACUGAGGCACGACCAAGCCCAGGCACAGGAGCAUCUGGCUGCACAAGGCCCUAAACUGAACUCAAAAGCACUCAAAAGCCAAAGGAAUUGUGGCAUUCCCAAUGAAGGUGGAUCCAAAAGCACCAACACUUACUGGUUCACCCUGGCUGCCAAACAGGUAUCUCUCUCACAGGGCAUUUCAAGGCCUCUGACCAUUCCUAAAGACAACAAGGGUGUGGUUUUCCAGUCACUGUUUGUUCCCAGCAUCAGAGGACACAGCCACAGUGACAGGCACAGAGAGGAGAAGCAGCCCUCCCAAAAUCAGGCAGCUGAUCAGAGGCAGGCUGUCUGGCUCUCCACGUAGACCUACUGGACUUCCACAAGCAAUUUUUGACCAAUUCUCGUUCCCUCCCCAGCAGGGAACUGCUCUGUGUCAGAUAUGGCUCAGGGCCCCAGUGCUUCAGACUCCAGCAGGAAAAUCUUGGCUUAAUUUGAAGUGUACUCACCCCUGAGUUACAACUGUGUGGGUGCAGGGAGGUCCCUGAAGCAGCAACACUUGGGAUCCAUGCUGUGAGAGGCAGGAAAUUUACUGUCAUGCUGUGGGUUUGGGUUGUCUCUGCAGAAAACAACGAUUAUGGGACUUGUGAACACGAUUAGGUGACAUUAAAAGGUUUUUAAAGUAA